rnacentral:miRNA from 1 species
UAUGCCACAGCAGUGACAAUGC